GACGAACGCUGGCGGCGUGCUUAACACAUGCAAGUCGAACGGAAAGGCCUGCUUUCCCUUGUGGAUUGCGGGUACUCGAGUGGCGAACGGGUGAGUAACACGUGAGUGAUCUGCCCCCAACUUGGGUAUAAGCCUGGGAAACUGGGUCUAAUUCCCGAUAGGACUGCAGGGUGGUGCCUGUGGUGGAAAACGAUUUUCUAGUGGUUGGGGAUGAGCUCGCGGCCUAUCAGCUUGUUGGUGGGGUAAUGGCCUACCAAGGCGGCGACGGGUAGCCGGACUGAGAGGGUGGACGGCCACAUUGGGACUGAGAUACGGCCCAGACUCCUACGGGAGGCAGCAGUGGGGAAUAUUGCACAAUGGGCGGAAGCCUGAUGCAGCGAAGCCGCGUGGGGGAUGACGGCCUUCGGGUUGUAAACUCCUUUCGACCGCGAGGAAGCCACCUGGUUGGAAGGGUGGUGACGGUAGUGGUAGAAGAAGCACCGGCUAACUACGUG
rnacentral:rRNA from 1 species